AACUGGAAGUGUGCUCAAAACUAGCAGACUGAGCGGUAUAGAAAGUAGAAUUCCGGGUGUAGUGGUAAAUGCGUAGAUAUCCGGGAGGAAUACCAGUGGCGAAGCGGCCUUCCGGACCGUUCCUGACACUCAGACGCGAAAGCUAGGGUAGCAAACAGGAUUAGAAACCCUGGUAGUCCUAGCUGUAAACGAUGUGAACUUGGUGUUGGCGGGGUAAAACCUGUCAGUGCCGAAGCAAACGCGAUAAGUUCACCGCCUGGGGACUACGGCCGCAAGGUUAAAACUCAAAGGAAUUGACGGGUGCCCGCACAAGCAGCGGAGCGUGUGGUUCAAUUCGAUGCUACACGAAGAACCUUACCUGGGUUUGACAUAUACGUGGUAGAGAACGGAAACGGGAUCGACCCUUCGGGGAGCGUAUACAGGUGCUGCAUGGCUGUCGUCAGCUCGUGUCGUGAGAUGUUCGGUUAAGUCCGUUAACGAGCGCAACCCCUGCUGUAUGUUACAUGUGUCAUACGGGACUGCCGGUAUCAAGCCGGAGGAAGGUGGGGAUGAUGUCAAGUCAGCAUGGCCUUUAUAUCCAGGGCUACACACACGCUACAAUGGCUAAAACAAUGGGUAGCAAGACCGCAAGGUGGAGCCAAUCCUCAAAUUUAGCCCCAGUUCAGAUUGCAGGCUGCAACUCGCCUGCAUGAAGUCGGAGUUGCUAGUAACCGCGCGUCAGCAUUAGUGCGGUGAAUACGUUCCCGGGCGUUGUACACACCGCCCGUCACGUCAUGGAAGCUGGUAAUACCUGAAGUCGGUAUCCUAACCGCAAGGAGGGAGCUGCCCAAGGUAGGACUGGUGACUGCGACGAAGUCGUAACAAGGUAGCCGUANAGGGCCAAUUCUGCAGAUAUCCAUCACACUGCCGGCCGCUCGAGCAUGCAUCUAGAGGCCCAAUUCGCCUAU
rnacentral:rRNA from 1 species